rnacentral:rRNA from 1 species
GACGAGCCACCCGAACGUUAUUCGGAAUCACUGGGCUUAAAGCGUGUGUAGGCGGAUCGUUAAGUGUCUUGUGAAAUCCCACGGCUCACCCGUGGAACUGCUGGGCAUACUGGCGAUCUUGGGCCAACUAGGGGCAACUGGAACAAGCGGUGGAGCGGUGAAAUGCGUAGAUAUCGCUUGGAACGCCGAAGGUGAAAACAGGUUGCUGGGGUUGUGCCGACGCUGAGACACGAAAGCCAGGGGAGCAAACGGG